rnacentral:rRNA from 1 species
GACGAACGCUGGCGGCGUGCCUAAUACAUGCAAGUCGAGCGAGCUUGCCUAGAUGAUUUUAGUGCUUGCACUAAAUGAAACUAGAUACAAGCGAGCGGCGGACGGGUGAGUAACACGUGGGUAACCUGCCCAAGAGACUGGGAUAACACCUGGAAACAGAUGCUAAUACCGGAUAACAACACUAGACGCAUGUCUAGAGUUUGAAAGAUGGUUCUGCUAUCACUCUUGGAUGGACCUGCGGUGCAUUAGCUAGUUGGUGGGGUAACGGCCUACCAAGGCGACGAUCAGUAGCCGGCCUGAGAGGGUGAACGGCCACAUUGGGACUGAGACACGGCCCAAA